ACGGCGUAGUAGCAUAGAACGAGGAGGAACUAACAUAGAGCUACAAAUAAUUUCCAAAACCAUAAUUCAGAAUCGACUAAACCACUUCCAAAGGAAAAAUCCAAAUACAACUAAAUUCAAACCACAAUCACAUAAAUUCCCACAUAGUACCAACAUAAUGAAAUAAGAGUAAUCUGAGGCUAGGAACCAAGAUCCACAGCACAAACUAUCAAGGCGCUAACUUCCACAUCCUCACACCGCGCCCCGACCCGCACUGUCAGCAACACCUAUAAAAAACAG
rnacentral:lncRNA from 1 species